UUGCAUCUAUUUGACAGGCCUGGAGCAGUUAAUGUCUGCUUCUAAGGCUUCCACUAUAGAUACAAGAAGAAAGUUCCUCCUGCUUUCUUUCUGUCUGCUUGUGGCAGCCAAGAUUGAAUGGAGAAAUAUAGGA